rnacentral:misc_RNA from 1 species
GUGAAUCAUCAAAUUUUUGAACGCAAAUUGCACUCUCCUCGGAGAGUAUGCCUGUUUGAGGGUCAGCCUAUAAAAAAUCGACAUCGUUGCUGUUUCGCGGUGACGUUCGUCGGAAAUUGGGGCAUCUUAAAUCCUUUUGGUUUUAAGCGACUUAAAAUUUUCUUUUUGGUUCUAUGAACGUUGCUAAGAUUUAUUUCUUUACACGUUUAAGGUAUCGAUUUUUAUUAGACGGGACCAUCAGUUCGGAUCGCGUCGAUAAUCUGUGAUUAACUGACAU